rnacentral:misc_RNA from 1 species
CAAAAAACAUAAACAAACCCACUACAAUAUCUUAUACCCAAAACUCAAACACAAUCGCUAAAAUCACAAUUAAUUAAAAGUCCAAACUCGUCAAAAACCAAAACCCCAGAAAACGAAUAAACCCAGUAAAUAAAAUAAUAGAAGAAAGAGAAAAAGAACAAAUAGGAGACUGAGUUUGUUCGAAAAACGCGUAAAACACAAACAAAACCAAGCAAGCAAAAACUGGAAGCUCUUUUUUGACUUUAGGCGAAAAUGGUAUUGUCUUCUUCGCCAAUAGAAGAAAGGUACUGUGCAAAACGUUUAUCAGUUUCAGAUAGAAUUUUGAAUACACAAAAACUGUGACGUAGAAAAAUGGUUUGAGUCUUUGAGAGAGAUUGAAAGAUUGACAAAGUUUGAUGACCGAGUAAAAGCUAAUGACAAAG